rnacentral:tRNA from 1 species
AUUAGCUCAGUGGUAGAGCGCGCCCCUGAUAAUUGCGAGGUCUCUGGUUCAAGUCCAGGAUGGCCCAGCUGC